GACGAACGCUGGUGGCGUGCUUAACACAUGCAAGUCGAACGGAAAGGCCCUGCUUUUGUGGGGUGCUCGAGUGGCGAACGGGUGAGUAACACGUGAGUAACCUGCCCUUGACUUUGGGAUAACUUCAGGAAACUGGGGCUAAUACCGGAUAGGAGCUCCUGCUGCAUGGUGGGGGUUGGAAAGUUUCGGCGGUUGGGGAUGGACUCGCGGCUUAUCAGCUUGUUGGUGGGGUAGUGGCUUACCAAGGCUUUGACGGGUAGCCGACCUGAGAGGGUGACCGGCCACAUUGGGACUGAGAUACGGCCCAGACUCCUACGGGAGGCAGCAGUGGGGAAUAUUGCACAAUGGGCGGAAGCCUGAUGCAGCAACGCCGCGUGCGGGAUGACGGCCUUCGGGUUGUAAACCGCUUUCGCCUGUGACGAAGCGUGAGUGACGGUAAUGGGUAAAGAAGCACCGGCUAACUACGUG
rnacentral:rRNA from 1 species